UGAUGGGAGAUUCAGAGACAGACUGAAGCUGGAUCAGACUGGAUCUCUGAUCAUCACAAACACCAGAAUCACAGACUCUGGAGAAUAUAAAGUCACCGGAAAAAACUCAAAGAUCCCACUCAACAUCUUCAAUCUUACUGUCUACGCUCCUGUGCCUGUUCCUGUCAUCACCAGAGACUCUUCUCAAAAUUCAUAAUCCUCCUCAUCAUCAUCCUCAUCAUCAUCAUCAUGUUCAUUCCUGUGUUCAGUGGUGAAUGUGGGUCAUGUGACUCUCUCCUGGUACAAAGGAAACAGUUUAUUCUCCAGCAUCAGUGUGUCUGAUCUCAGCAGAAGUCUUUCUUUACAUCUGGAGUGUCUGGAUGAUUUCUACAGCUGUGUGGUGAACAAUCCCAUCAGAAACCAGACUCAACACCUCAACACUGAACUCUGUCAGACAUGUUCAGACUCUGUAUCUCUGAUAGGGCUGAUCUGUGUCAUUGUUGCUGCUGCUGGUUUUCUGUUGAUUGUAGCUGCUGUCGGGAUCUUCUUCAUCUGCAGGAAACACAGAAGAACAGACAAAUAAUUUCAGACCCAUGACAGUGAGAUCACUUACGCUGAAUAUACUGCACUUUCUUCACAUAGUAAUGUACAUUUAACAGUAAAACAAAUGUUUGAGCUAUAGGAUGAAGUGAAGU